GACGAACGCUGGCGGCGUGCUUAACACAUGCAAGUCGAACGGAAAGGCCCUGCUUUUGUGGGGUGCUCGAGUGGCGAACGGGUGAGUAACACGUGAGUAACCUGCCCUUGACUUUGGGAUAACUUCAGGAAACUGGGGCUAAUACCGGAUAGGAGCUCCUGCUGCAUGGUGGGGGUCGGAAAGUUUCGGCGGUUGGGGAUGGACUCGCGGCUUAUCAGCUUGUUGGUGGGGUAGUGGCUUACCAAGGCUUUGACGGGUAGCCGGCCUGAGAGGGUGACCGGCCACAAUGGGACUGAGAUACGGCCCAGACUCCUACGGGAGGCAGCAGUGGAGAAUAUUGCACAAUGGGCGGAAGCCUGAUGCAGCAACGCCGCGUGCGGGAUGACGGCCUUCGGGUUGUAAACCGCUUUCGCCUGUGACGAAGCGUGAGUGACGGUAAUGGGUAAAGAAGCACCGGCUAACUACGUG
rnacentral:rRNA from 1 species